UAUAACACUUCUUUUUCUAUGUGU
rnacentral:siRNA from 1 species